UUUAAUUGAGUGCUAAAAGAAUGGAGUUUCAAAAAAAGUCUAUCUUGAAUUCAAAAAUUGAAUUUAUUUUUAUUUGUGAAGAAACAAUAAUUAAAAUUAAGGACAAGAAGACCCUAAGAAUUUUUAAUUUUGUAUAUAUAUAUAUAUUUAUAUAUACAAAAUUUUAAUUGGGGCGAUUAAAAAAUAUAGUUAACUUUUAAUUUUAAAAAAUGAUCCAUUAUUAGUGAUUUAAUGUAAAAAAUACUCUAGGGAUAACAGCGUAAUAA
rnacentral:rRNA from 1 species